rnacentral:lncRNA from 1 species
GACUCUUUAAAAAAUUUUUUCUUCAUUAAAUAUUUGAAAUAGAUUACAUAUAAUCAAAGCAUGCCUCUGUCCACUGAUAUUGAUAGGAUGGUGAAAAUGUCCAUCAAUUUAUGCUUGCCCAUCUCUUCAAGUGUUAAGCGAUUUCUCAUUUCCCGUAUUUUAAAGGAAGAAGUAAACAAAUAUAUAUUUGAUCUAUUAUUUUGAACUCUCUGAGCAGACCAUUUUAAGGUAAUCUAUGUUUAAAUUUCUCUUAAAAUACUUUUAACGGGGGUCCAAGACUUGUAGGGUGAACGGGUCCGUGUUGCCAGUAUAUAGUGCAGGUUUGUUUAUAUAGAUCAGUAUGAAUGAAGUGCUCAGUCUACCCACAUAGAGCUUCUGCGUGAUACCAGCUGAUUGCUAUAUAUAGAUUACUUCUGCAUUUUACACGUUCCAGACCUCCCUCUCAUUUGUGCCACCUUGGGUUUAUUCACCAAUAACAGAAUAGUUGUGAAUUUUAACCCCUUAAGGACCAAACUUCUGGAAUAAAAGGGAAUCAUGACAUGUCACACGUGUCAUGUGUCCUUAAGGGGUUAAACCAAAUUGCAAAAUAUAGGCAAAAAUACCUGAUUUGGAACAAUUAUACCUUAGCUGUUCCUAUAGUUAAUUCGGAAUAUUUGUUUAAUUUCACGUUCCUUUUUCAGUUCAUGACAAUUUAAUGUUUAAGGCAAAAAUAAACCCUUUUUUCUAUAACUUUCUCUUUAUCAUCCAGCACCCACAAUUCCUCCCAAGUACCCUUCACGGGUCCUUCUCCAUCACCAUACUCAUAUCUUGGUUAUGUAGCUCAUUUCGCCCCUAUGUACUCUUUCAGUCUGCCCUCUGCAGUUGGCAUGACACAGUACCACACUAUUUCCCAUCCUGCAAGUGACACGCCAGUGUGAUUGUGUAUGGUUCUUUGUGGUCAUAUGACUUCUCUGCACACUAAGGAAGUAGUAUAGGCGUCUACAAAUAUGCAAAAAUAAGUCCUGCGCUCAAACUCCCACUACUCGUAGGCGGCAGCGAUGACUAUAGUACACCUCAGACCCAAUCCAUACAACAAAAACCAAAGAAAAGAGGUACUUGCGCACUAUCCCAAAUCCCUAUGCACAUUUAAAUAACUGGAGGAUUUUAGUAUCACUCCAGUGGCCACUUCAGUGUAAGCUCACCUGCCACGUCAAACACACACACAUAUACUACAUACAAACACCCCUCCAUGCAUUUAAAUGGCAACCGACCAUACAAUCACACAACUGCAUUUAAACAGGAAUACUACACACAAAUACAUCAUUUUUUUUUUUUUUUUUAUUGCUGUGAGAAAGUAAUACGUUAUGUGAAGCUGUUCUUUCUGCCUGCUCUUUUUCUUGUGUGUGUGCAUAAAAAUAUAAAUGUUAUGCAUUCGGCCCUCCCUACCAGUAGACGGCUUGGCCAUCAACAACAAAUUAGUUUGACACCCCUGUUUGUAGUGGUUUUGGUGCCUAGAAUGUCCCUUGAAAUAAACUAUCUCUGCUAGCUGUGCAAAGGAUAGAGAACAGAAGAAAUUAGACAAUGUUUAGAUUCUAGUGCCAGGUGCCUUGGCUUUGCCUGGACCCAACUGGGUUGUGAUGUAAUUUGUUAAAUCUUUAAUUCAGAUUUAAAUAAAAUAAA